GACGAACGCUGGCGGUGUGCUUCACACAUGCAAGUCGAACGAGGUAGCAAUACCUAGUGGCGGACGGGUGAGUAACGCGUGGGAAUCUGCCUUUAGAUGGGGGAUAACGAGCCGAAAGGUUCGCUAAUACCGCAUAUGCCGUAAGGUGAAAGGAGUAAUCCGUCUAGAGAUGAGCCCGCGUCCGAUUAGCUAGUUGGUAGGGGAAAGGCCUACCAAGGCGACGAUCGGUAGCUGGUCUGAGAGGAUGAUCAGCCACAAAGGGACUGAGACACGGCCCAUACUCCUACGGGAGGCAGCAGUGGGGAAUUUUACGCAAUGGGGGAAACCCUGACGUAGCGACACCGCGUGAGCGAAGAAGCCCCUUGGGGUGUAAAGCUCUGUCGGCUGGAACGAAAAAAAUGACGGUACCAGCAAAGGAAGCAUCGGCUAACUACGUGCCAGCCGCCGCGGUAA
rnacentral:rRNA from 1 species